GACAUCUUUUCUAAGGUGAGGGGGAACCCUGGAAGAAGAGCAGAAGAGCAUCACUGGACCAGCAGCAGGAGGAUGCUGCGAAGGAGGCGGCUGUAUCCAUGGCAAAAUCCUGCUCACUCCUAGCAUCCUACCCAGACCGGUCUUCUGACCCUGCUCAGGUGCGGAAGAGUGCUUGGCUGGGAUCACAAGGUUUUCAACAAGCUUUAAAUAGCCCACCCAGUGGUGCCACCGUCUCUCUCUGCCUGUUUUCUGUUGUAUGGUUUGGGGGAGGGGCCAGGUCACCCACACACCUGCCCUCUUCUCAUCUUCCAUAAAAGAACACUCAGGGCACUUCCAAUCUCAGUACUGAUUCUUUAAGUUAAAAGAGAAAAUUGCAAUAAAUCUCUACCUGGGACUUUACCCAUUUCCAGCACAAGGGGGUGGGCGCUAUUUGGACAUCACAGGACUGUUGUACUCAUUCUCCGCAAAAGCCCUUAGUUUAAACUCAGUCUGUCCGCCAAGUGAGGAUAUGAUCCAAGGACCCAUUAUUAGACAAGGCAGGCUCUACUGUGGUCCUAUUUGCAAACGGGAGAAGGACCCUGGAGCAGCACAUACGACCAGAAGGAAGCAGACACCUUUUUGAUGAUGUCCUUGGAAUCUAAGCUUGGUAGAGAACUGCAGGUAGUAGAAAGUUUAUCCCAGCACCUCACAAGUCACUCCCCAACAGAGGAACGUCUGCCUCUGUAAAGCAGGGCUUGGAUUUAUGUCUCCUCAAACCUUACCCAUUAGCAACAUUCUCUGACAUCCCUCCUACUCUCUGUGAGUUCAGGCUCUCCUGACAGUUUCGCGGGAUUCAUGCAGCCCAUGGCAGGCUGCCUUGAAUAGCCAACGCAGAGUCAGUCCUCCUGUGUCUAGCACUCUCUGGACCCUGGGAUGCCAGAGAGGUAGGCAAUAGCUGUACCUUGGUGGAGUUUUAACAUUCGGACAGAAGACCAGGAGCGUCACCCGCCCUGCCUCAGCUCACCCCUCAUGCCUUUCCUGAACCGCCUGUCAACAUGAGUGCAGUAGAGAAGACUGAGGUCCUGAAGCUUCCAAAGGGAAGGUGGGCCUUGCAAGCUGAGCAAGGCCAGCUGUGGAGACCAGACAGCCAGGAGAGCCCACACUUACCCGAAGCACCAGGGAGGCACAUCCUUGCUUCCAACUUGUGACACUGUGGUCUGCUAGGAAGGCAUGUGAAGUCAGCUCAACUCUUCUCCAUGGGAUUAACUUAACUUCCCUGAUGACUCCAGGGCCAGCAGCAUCACCUCUGUGUAUGAAGAAUAAAGUGCUCCCCCUUCUUUCAUCAUUGGAACUCAAUUGUUAUUAAGAUACCACAUUUGAACCUUGCCCCACCCAGCUGUGUUGAAAUAACAAUUCCAAUAAGAAAUUGCCUUAAUUAUGGUGGAGCUUUAAUGAUCCAAGUGAUCCUGAUUAGACUUUGGCUUUCAGAAACUUAUGGCACUCCUCUCAGUUUGGACAGCCUGAACCCAGGUGAACCAAGGAGGAGUCUGGGUGUUCCUGUGCUUGGAGGAUUCACUGAGGGAGAAGCCAGGAUUUGUUGGAGAAGGCAGGUUUCUUAGCUUGAAGCUGAGGUGCCAUGGAGGCUUGGGAGGGAAGUAGGCUGCUCUUCUGAUAGUGAUUACCAUGUGUAUAAAAAGGAGUCCUUUUAAUUAAUCAGGCCACAUGGGAGCAAGUGUGAACCAUGGCUUCUAGCAUUGAUCUGUGGACCACAUUGGCCCAUUACCAUGUGCUCAUCAGUCUGAAGGAACAGUCUAAGUAACAGGAGGUCAGUAGGGCAUUUUUAGGGAGAGAAAUUUUUAAUUCAGCAAAUCACGGCCUUCCUACCUCUUUUGUGUUUUAAGUAAUGUUUCUUAUAAAGUGAUGGUGAUCUGAGCUGCCCUUACGUAUCAAAAUAAGUAUCAUAGUUGUAUAAUGAUUACCACAUUUGUUUUAAUUUUCUUAAAAUUUAUCAUAUAUUAAUUAUACAAAGUAAGCAGUUUUAUUAUAUUUCUGUAAUACGUGUAAUGUACUUUGAUUGCAUUUGUCCCCACUGUUAUCCUUUCUGGCUUCCUUCUCAUCUUUCCCCUCCACAUCCUUAAGAGAUCCCUUUUUAUUUAAGGCCUUUUGUUUUCCUGCCAUAGAGUCCAUAUAUUAGAGAAACAUGCAGUAUUUAUUUUUGUGAGACUAGGUUCUUUUGCUUAAUGCAAUGAUCUCGUUUCAAUUUUGCUGCAGUUGACAUAGUUUUAUUUUUCUUUAUGGCCGAAUAAAAUUUCAUUAUGCAUAUUUGCACAUCUUUGUCCACCCAACAUCUAGGCUGAUUCUGUAACUUCGCUGUUCUGAAUAGCAAUGAGUGAGCAGGGAUAUACAGGCAACUCUGUAAUAAACUGACUUGAUUCUUCUGGGUGUAUCCCCAGAAGUGGUAUAGCUGGAUCACAUAAAAGUUGUAUUUUCAAUAUUGUGAGGAUACUCUGAUUUCUGCGGUGUCUGGGCAUAUACACAGUCUCAUCAGCACUAAUAGGAGUCUCCGGUCCCUUGAAAUCUUACCAAUGUUUGUUUGUUUGUGUCCUUGAUGAUCGCCAUUCUGACUAGAGUACAUGGAAUCUUCAUGUAACUUUGAUUUGCAUGUCCCUGUUGGCUAAAAUGUUGAACGUUUUGGCUGGUCGGAAAUGUCUGUGUGGGGUUGGAGAGAUGACUCAGUGGUUAAGAGCACUUGUAACCCUUCAGAGUGCCUGAGUUCACUUCUCAGCAACCGGGUUGGGUGGCUCACAACUAACUUCAUCUCCACAUUUG